rnacentral:misc_RNA from 1 species
AAUAUGCCUUCAACUAAGCCAACCACUCUGAUGAACAGUUCCAUCUAUAAUAAGUAUUUUUUAACUCUUCGGGUUCUACAAGCAAGGAAAUUAAGUUUUCGUUUUCCUUCCAACAUUUAUAUGCUAAUAUGUGUUGAGCAAUCUAAAAGCAAUAGAAUUGCCCUUCAGAAAUUUUCCAUCUAAUCAUGAAUCGGCGUGAAGAAUUAC